CAAAAAACGCAGGUGGUGGUGCAAACAUCUCUAUCUCUUGGGGAGACAACCAGCAAUUGUCUUAUCAAUGACUCUAUCUUUGGCUUUCCCACAAGCUUUUUUAACUUCUCUUAUUGGCUUGCAGGGGGUAAUUUCUUCACUGUUUUGUACUUCAACACAUUCCUUUGCUUCCAUCUUUUUAGUUCUUUUACCUUAAUUUUACCCAUAUUGUUUUCUCUCCC
rnacentral:sRNA from 1 species